CACAGAGUAAGAUAGUGCUUAGAGACCUAAUUAUGUCUCUAUUUGAUUUUAAUGUCCUUUACUCUAUUUUUAAGAUUUAUUUAAUAGAAAUUGAUAAAACUAAAGAUUUGUGGACAUUCAGUAGGUAUAUGUUGAAGUGCUGCAAAAGUUCUAGUGCGAAUAACUUGUAAUAAAACCAUAAGGUUUUAUUAUAAGGAUGGUAUAAAGCAGCUACGUGUCCAGCAUGAUCAUUGUUAACUACUUCGGUUACACUGUUCGUAGAGAUUCUUAAAACCUGGAACGUCUGCAAUAACAGAUGGAUUAGAGAGCGCAAAAGCUUAGAGGCCGAACACUAAAAAUUAUCUACCACAAUCUCCUAGGCUAACCGUAACAGAUGACGGCGAAAGAUUGACAAUCUACGACUAAAUCACGACCCUCAGUAAUGAGUGAA